GACGAACGCUGGCGGCAUGCCUAACACAUGCAAGUCGAACGAGACCUUCGGGUCUAGUGGCGCACGGGUGCGUAACGCGUGGGAACCUGCCCUUAGGUUCGGAAUAACUCCCCGAAAGGGGUGCUAAUACCGGAUAAUGUCUUCGGACCAAAGAUUUAUCGCCUUUGGAUGGGCCCGCGUUGGAUUAGCUAGUUGGUAGGGUAAAAGCCUACCAAGGCGACGAUCCAUAGCUGGUCUGAGAGGAUGAUCAGCCACACUGGGUCUGAGACACGGCCCAGACUCCUACGGGAGGCAGCAGUGGGGAAUAUUGGACAAUGGGCGAAAGCCUGAUCCAGCAAUGCCGCGUGAGUGAUGAAGGCCUUAGGGUUGUAAAGCUCUUUUACCCGGGAUGAUAAUGACAGUACCGGGAGAAUAAGCUCCGGCUAACUCCGUG
rnacentral:rRNA from 1 species